UGUCAUCCUGAGAGCUUCACUUUCUGACCCAGAGGUGAUUUGGUAAGAUCACUGCUUCUCUUAAUGCAGCAAGGACUCUUGGCUUGGAGCAUAGGGGUUUCCAGCAGUGAUCGCAGCUACAAGGAGGUCUGGUGAAGAAGCAAACUGAGUGAGUUGUGGACAUUUAUUCCCUUCAGCAAUGAAAAUAAAUGACCCAGCUGGGAUGCCUCAAAACUGCUGAUCGAAUUGUGACAAGCCAACCACUUGCAAGGUGACAUCUCAGCCUAUCUGAAAACAUUCUUCACCAAGCUGCCAAAGAGGUGUGUGACGUGUUGACUCUUACUUCCCCUCAACAAUCUUUUACCUUUUCCAUUCUUCUUAGAUGGUGCUGAUGAUUGGAUUUUCAGAUUCCCCUUCCUUUUCUUAUUGUACUGAGCUGGUGACAAAGACUACUUCCCACCAUACUGUACUCAUUA